CACAUUUUCCAAAUUGUGUUCCAAAGAAGGCUAAUGUCCCUUAACUAGAAAAAAAAAGCAACAAAUGCUGGGUGGGUGUGGAAGAGGGUGUAUUCUGUCAAAAUAAAUCUGGUCAUGUAGGCAUUAAAUUAACUUAAACAGGCUUUUUUACUGCAGGGCUUCCGUGAAUUUGGAGAUUUUCCUGAGCUGGGAGGUGACCAAACAUAUCUACUCCUUUGAUCUCAACACUUCCUGAAAAACAGAUACUAACAACCAAGAUUUUCAGAGAGGCAAGGCUAAGCACCAGCCAGCUAUAAAAUAUCCCAAAUUGUCUGGGCCACAGUAAGAGAAGCUUUGGUGCUUUCAGCCACCCGGGCCGUCUAAGUUGUCCAGAUCUUCCAACACAGACCCCAUGCCUAAUGCAUCCCUGCUUCACAAGCUGAUCCCCAGAGGAAGAACUGUACCAAACCAUCCAGGUCCUCCAUCUUCCAACCCCAAAAUUCAUCCAGAAUGUACCAGGAUGGGGCCUAGAAGUCAACUUCAAACUUUGAUCUUCAAUCCUACAAACAAUGAUCAUCUCAGAAAACUUAGGGCAAAAGUCAUGGGAUACAAAGAGAAGCAGGAAAAUGGUCUCAGGAAAGAAAGUCAUCUCUGUCACUAAAGGAUUCACAAUCUACAAAAGGAGACAGGCAUUUAAACAGAUAAUUGCAGCAAUA
ensembl:lincRNA